GGCUGAGUGGAGGCUGGGGCAUUUUUCUGCUGCGCUGGCCUGCAUCUGCCUUUCGAGUAGCCCUAGAGGCCUAACGCUUGAGGUCACCUUCAUGGUUUUUCCAGUGACCUUGGCCAUUAAUGAGCUCCCACCGCUUCCCCAGCUGCAGCUGUAUUAUAGCGCCAGAGUCUUCCAAGCCUGCAGGUUGUGCCAAGCCUGGAGGGAUUUGCAAAAGAAACAUUUGCCUACACCAAGAUCAUGAAGAUGUUUUCUUCUAGAGGAUUUCUAGUUUUAGCUCUUUAUGUUUAAAUUGAGGGAAACUAAAUGUAUGGCCUUAAGGAGCUGUUCCAGCCUGAGACUAUACACCAGCAGAAAGAAACUCACAGCACUGAAAAUAUUGUUCUCCGCCCUCCCUCAUCCCUCUUCCUUCUGAAUGGGAAAAAAGAGUAAGAAGCUUUUCCCUCCAGCUGAAAGCAAAGGAGUACUCUAGCCCUCUGUGAUAGCUGAUGGCAGCAUCUUUGGUGGCUCUCCCAGAGAGGCUGCUCUCUUUGCUGGAAUUUGCCUUGUUCUCUCCUCACUGCUGAAGCACUGUCACUGCGUCCUAAAAAAACACCACAGUAUCCGUAAGACGUUGCCUGUCAUUGGAGGUUUGCUCCUUCUCUCUAUCUCAGACAGGAUUCAAUGAAGAAAACAGAAGCCACUGUAUGUACUCCAGGUGUUUAAAGUUUUAAUUUAGAGAAUUAAGGGUAUACUGAAAUAUUGCAAGACCUGGGGUAGUGGAGGUCAGGUAAGCUGACACCAAAGACCUCAUCCCAAAACACUCAAAGAGUGGUACAUGUCCCACACUUGUGGGCAGCAGCAAGCAUGAUUGUUCCCAAAUCUCAACUCCUUACAGAUCUGGCUGUAACUACCCCUGAAGAACAAAGACCUUUCCCCCACCUCUGUCCUAAUCUCAGGAGAGCUUCUCAUUUGCAAACUCUAACCAGGAAUCAGACAGGGACAGAGUUCAGGGAAGUAUUCCUGGCUUUGCUUCCCUCUGCAGAAGGGACUUUGGCUUUGAGGGAGGUCCUGGGGUUGGUGGUAAUGCCAAGUUGACCUUGGACAAUCCAGCACUCUCUAAGGAUGGCUCCAGCCCCUCGAGGGGAGUCAGCACCCUCUGAAUAGCAUUUUCAGGCCUCUCCCAGGAAGCUGGGGCUUGGAGUGGGAGUGUCCCCCCAGGAGAGUGGCAGAGGCAGGAUGAUUCAGGGUCAGCCCAAACCUUACAGAUAUUCCCCGAGGUGGCCAACGCAACCAUGAGCAAGAGCCGAGGCCUUAGCCAACAAGACAAUGGAGGGCAGCUCAUAUGAAGGGCAAAGCAAAGGCCAAAGUGAGAGAAGUAAGCGCUGUGACAUGGAGACCAGCUCAGGAUAGGAUAGAUGGCUCAGGAACCAGGCUGUUAAGGAGAGAAUACUCAGCAUUUCUGAGAACACGGCAGUUCGAGGACCCGUGCUGGUCUGGGCCCGCUCCCCCAGCCCCUGAUGGGGGCCUGUGUGCUCUGCAAAGAGCUGUGCCCUGUGAUGGGGGGUCUGUGACCUGGGAGGGAAUACACUCAAUCUCACAUGGGUUGUGGAAGCCUGUGCUCCCCCCACAGCCAGGGAAGAUCAUGAGCUGCUUUGUGAGUGUGAGACAUUACAGAUACAACAGCCAAUUGACUCAAACAAAACUAUUGCAGGAAAGAAAAGGCUUUCUGAAUUAUGGAGUGCUGUGGGCUGAGUUGUGGACCCCCAAAAUUUAUAUGUUGAAGUCCUACCCCUAGUGCCUCAGAAUGUUCCUUUAUUUGGAGAUAGGGUCUGAUAGAGUUUAGUUAUUUGUCCCCCCAAAUCUCAUGUUGAAAUGUAGUCCCCAGUGUGGAAGGUGGGGCCUGGUGGGAGGUGAGUGGCUCGUGGAGGAGGAUUUCUCAUGAUUGGUUCAGCCCCAUCCUCAUGGUGCAGUCCUCAUGACGGUGAGUGAGUUCUCGUGAGAUCGGGUGGGUUGAAAGUGUGUGGCCCCUCCUUCUCCUUCUCUUGCACCUGCUUUGGCCAUGAGAUCUGCCUGCUCCACUUGCCUUCCGCCCUGAGUAAAAGCUCCCUGAGGCCUCCCCAGAAGCUGAGUAGAUGCCAUAGCCAUGCUUCCUGUACAGCCCACAGAACCGUGAGCCAGUUAAACCUCUUUCCUUGAUAAGUUACCUACCCUCAGGUAUUUCUUUAUAGCAGCGCAAGAACAGACUCAUACAGGAUCACUGCAUGUGGAAUCAGGUAAGACAAGGUCAUACUGGAGUAGGAAAGGGGUUAAUCCAAUAUGACUGGUGUCCUUAAAAAAUGGGAAAUUCAUCGAGGGCAGAUUGGAUAAAGGAAAUGUUGUACAUAUACACUAUGGAAUACUUCACAGCUAUAAAAAAGGAGAAGAUUAUGUCCUUUGCAGGUACAGGAAUGGAGCUAGAGGUCAUCAUCCUUAGCAAACUAAUGCAGGAACAGAAAACCAAAUGCCACAUGUUCUCACUUAUAAGUUGAAGGUAAAUAAUGAGAACACGUGGACACAUAGAGGGGAAUAGCACACACUGGGGCCUACUUGAGGGUAGAAGGUGGGAGGAAGGAGAGGAUCAGAAAAAACGAUUGGUUACUAGGCUUACUACCUGGUUGAUGAAAUAAUCUGUACAGCAAACCCCAGUAUCAAGAGUUUACCUAUAUAACAAAACUGCACAUGUACCCCUGAACCUAAAAUAAAAGCUUUUUAUAAAAAGAAAAGAAAAAGGGCUGGGCAUGAUGGCUCACACCUGUAAUCCCAGGACUUUAGGACACCCAGGUGGGUGGACUGCUAAGCUCAGGAGUUCAAGACCAGCCUAGGCAACAUUGCGAAACCCCGUCUCUACAAAAAUUAGCCAGGCAUGGUGGCAUGUACCUGAAGUCCCAUCUACUUGCAGGGCUGAGGCCAGAGGAUCGCUUGAACCCAGGAGGUGGAGAUUGUAGUGAGUUGUAUUUGUGCCACUGCACUCCAGCCUCGUUGACAGAGCAAGGGCAAG
ensembl:lncRNA novel transcript